AGAGUUUGAUCCUGGCUCAGAACGAACGCUGGCGGCAGGCCUCAAACAUGCAAGUCUAGGGGGUGCAGCAAUGCAUCACCGGCGGACGGGUGCGUAACGCGUGGGAAUAUACCUAUUGGUUCGGAACAACUGCGGGAAACUGCAGCUAAUACCGAAUGUGCCCGCAAGGGGAAAGAUUUAUCGCCAAUGGAUUAGCCCGC
rnacentral:rRNA from 1 species